rnacentral:rRNA from 1 species
AACGCUAGCUACAGGCUUAACACAUGCAAGUCGAGGGGCAGCAUAAAAGUAGCAAUACUUUGGUGGCGACCGGCGCACGGGUGAGUAACGCGUAUGCAACCUACCUAUCAGAGGGGGAUAACCCGGCGAAAGUCGGACUAAUACCGCAUAAAACAGGGGCACCGCAUGGUGAUAUUUGUUAAAGAUUAAUUGCUGAUAGAUGGGCAUGCGUUCCAUUAGGUAGUUGGUGAGGUAAUGGCUCACCAAGCCGACGAUGGAUAGGGGAACUGAGAGGUUGGUCCCCCACACUGGUACUGAGACACGGACCAGACUCCUACGGGAGGCAGCAGUGAGGAAUAUUGGUCAAUGGGCGAGAGCCUGAACCAGCCAAGUCGCGUGAAGGAAGAAGGAUCUAUGGUUCGUAAACUUCUUUUGCAGGGGAAUAAAGUGGAGGACGUGUCCUCUUUUGUAUGUACCCUGAGAAUAAGGAUCGGCUAACUCCGUGCCAGCAGCCGCGGUAAUACGGAGGAUCCGAGCGUUAUCCGGAUUUAUUGGGUUUAAAGGGUGCGUAGGUGGUUUAAUAAGUCAGCGGUGAAAGUUUGCAGCUUAACUGUAAAAAUGCCGUUGAAACUGUUAGACUUGAGUGUAAAUGAGGUAGGCGGAAUGCGUGGUGUAGCGGUGAAAUGCUUAGAUAUCACGAAGAACUCCGAUUG